CCAGCCCAGGAUGCCAGAGGACAGGUUCCGUGCAGAGAGGCAGAGCCGAAGUUUGCGAUCGGCCGCACCGAAGCCGGCGCGGGGGACGUCUCGACGUACGCAUCCUAUCGAGGAUGGGUCUUGUCCUAUUACGUUACAAAAGGUCUCUGAUGCCUAUUUUCUGAGGAUCUACCAUUUGAUGUUGAGAAGCAGCAGCGAGAAGAUGUCUCGGGGCAUUUUGUGCAGCACAGUGUUUCAAAUAAGGGUUGCGGUCACUGUGUGAGUUAGAGUCUCCUGCUGUGUGUCAGGGCGUGUCUGUCUGUGAGAGUCGGUGGGUCUGGGUGUGCUUGUGUGUGUGCGUGUUGUGCGGUUCUAACCUUGUGUGUAUUGCUUUUGCUUUUCAGGACUUUAAAUUCACUUUUAAAUUUAGAAUAAAAAAUCCCCAGCUGGGGGGGUUUUUUUUUUUCCCUCCCAGCUGGGGUUUUUUUUUCCUCGGUCCCGGCCGGUUGGCGAGGCGACAGUCAUCGCCUAAGUUUGGGCACGGACCGGCCCCGGACCGGGGUUUUCGUCAGGCAGGCUGAUUUUUGAGGCCCCUGGGAACCGAGUUCCCGUGGGGUAGGAGGGGGGUGUGUGUGUGUGUGUGUGUGUGUGUUGUGCGGUUCUAACCUUGUGUGUAUUGCUUUUGCUUUUCAGGACUUUAAAUUCACUUUUAAAUUUAGAAUAAAAAAUCCCCAGCUGGGGGGGUUUUUUUUUUUUCCCUCCCAGCUGGGGUUUUUUUUCCUCGGUCCCGGCCGGUCUGCGAGGCGACAGUCAUCGCCUAAGUUUGGGCACGGACCGGCCCCGGACCGGGGUUUUCGUCAGGCAGGCUGAUUUUGAGGCCCCCGGGAACCGAGUUCCCGUGGGGUAGGAGGGGUGUGUGUUGUGCGGUUCUAACCUUGUGUGUAUUGCUUUUCAGGACUUUAAAUUCACUUUUAAAUUUAGAAUAAAAAAUCCCCAGCUGGGGGGGUUUUUUUUUUUUCCCUCCCAGCUGGGGUUUUUUUUCCUCGGUCCCGGCCGGUCUGCGAGGCGACAGUCAUCGCCUAAGUUUGGGCACGGACCGGCCCCGGACCGGGGUUUUCGUCAGGCAGGCUGAUUUAUGAGGCCCCCGGGAACCGAGUUCCCGUGGGGUAGGAGGGGUGUGUGUUGUGCGGUUCUAACCUUGCGUGUAUUGCUUUUCAGGACUUUAAAUUCACUUUUAAAUUUAGAAUAAAAAAUCCCCAGCUGGGGGGGUUUUUUUUUUUUCCCUCCCAGCUGGGGUUUUUUUUUCCUCGGUCCCGGCCGGUCUGCGAGGCGACAGUCAUCGCCUAAGUUUGGGCACGGACCGGCCCCGGACCGGGGUUUUCGUCAGGCAGGCCGAUUUCGAGGCUCCCGGGAACCACGUUCCCGAGGACCACCGCCAGCAGGGUUAUAACGGGGCGGUUGAGAGGAGAGCGAAGGUGAGCGUGUGUGUGAGCAGAAGCCGGCUUCUGUGGCGAAUGAGUAUUGUGUUUUCUGCGUGCUCCUUGUGGUUUGGGGGAGCGGUAAUAAUGAAACAGCAUGUAUUGUCCUUUUCAGAAAUGGUUAUAUUACGUUAAUAUGUAUUUGGCUUGUAUUGUUCUGUAUUUGCUGCUGUGUUUCUCUGUAUUGUUCUGUAUGUGAAUUAGGAGUUUUUCAGCGUGUACAGCAAUUGUAUUGUAUUGUAAUGCAUUUGUAUCCAGUUUCUAUGUGUUUUUCUGUACUGUAAAUAAAUUCAUUCAAUAAAGUUGCC